UCAGGGGAUCCGGCUCCCCUUCCUCCUCUCUCCCUCGUCAGCCGCCACAGCAAGAACCAUAGCCCCCUUCCCCAUUGCCGCCGCCCCUCCCGCAUUUGUUCUCUCCUUCCUCUCUCCGUUGUCAGCCGCCGCUACAACUCCUCCCUUCCCCAUCUUUGUCCGUGCAGCCGACCAAAUUAGCUCCGCCCGGAGAUCGCUGCCCCCCCAGUUCAUCAUCCCUCCCUUGCUGCUCUGCUUUCACCAGGGACGGACGAAUCCAUGCACCCCCUCGCCUAGAACCGCCAGGUGAAGAAGAUGGACGAGCGCGAGGGUCGGAGGCGGCCACCAAGGGACGGAUCUGGCACGGGAUUACGGGUUUCAAGACCCUCGUGGUUGACCUCCUCUUCGCUUCUUCCUCGUGCUGCUCCAUCCCCUUGGUUCUUCCCCUCUAUAAUGUGAUGCAGUUUACUGUUUUUACAGCUGCAGAUUACUUGUGAUUUUCUGCAUAAUCAACUUGUCAAGUAGUGGUGUCAAUGGAAGCCGUGACAGUCAUUCUGGUGACAUAUGCACAUCAGGUCAGCACCGCUGUUGUCACUGGGCAGAAUAGAUGACUGGCCAUGGGCAGGCUCGGAGCCCUCUGCGAAUAGGUUUGCAUGUUCAGUCAAUGGGAAAUUGGUAGCAACUUUCCUGCACUUUUUGGAUGCAUAGCUUUGAUAGUUUUGCUUGCGGUGCCUAAAUUACAGCCUGCCAAUGGCAUGGAGUUUAGGUGUCUAGCCCAUGCAUUGGGAAGAGUUUGGGUGGGUCGCGGACUCGCGGUUGAUAUCGGACCUGUAAAUGAAGAAAUUUUCAUCGCAGUGGGCAUAAUUAAUGGUGUGGUGGGGCUUAGUUGCACGCUCGUUGGUCUGCCCAAGGCGAAGGAGUUCACCGUGGUGGACACGCCACUCCUGGAGCGGCUCUUCUUGCUCCUGCCGCCUAAUGGUGUGGUGGGGCUUAGGAUCGCUUGUGCUCCCAACCUGUGGGUGCUCGCCUACCUAGACACAAAGAGCUCGCAUGCUACAGAUUGGUGUCAUCAUCAUUGGGGCACAUCUCUCCGGUCUACAUCUCUCUUGCAACUUGAAAUUAUUCCAUCGACAUUGAUCCAACCAUCAUGUUGUUCUUUGUGAUCAGAAAACUAUCAAUGACUUGUGAUAAUAAUGUUGCUUUAGCUGUAGCUCAUUGCAGUCUCUAAAAAUUAUUCCAGUAAUCCCUCUUCUUCUCUUCUCUUCUAGUAACUAUCAAUGACUGGUGGUGAGUUCAGCGGCUGCCGCCUCCUCUUCUCUUUGAAUCCAGUAAACCCUCUCGUGAGUGCAUCAGGGGAUGUCGUGCCCUCGACUACGCUGAAGCACCAGGUCCACUUGAGCUCCUCCUUAAAUAGAUGUGUUCGUGUCAUUUAGCCCCAAAAUUCAGUUCAGUUUGGAUCUACAUCUUUUGGCGACCCCUUUUCUUGGUUUCUUUCCUGGCAGCGAAUUUAUGAUUCAGACCAUUCCAUAACAAAAUGCAUAUAUGGCCUCACGAUCAUUUCACAAAAUGGAAGUAUAGAGGAAUUAAUAUAUAGAAGUUAUGACCAUCGUGUAGAGUGAUCUCUGAAGAUGGAUUGCAGAUAAGUAGAUUAACAAUUUAGUAAUGACCCUAUUUCUGUUGAUACUUUUUAUUUUACUAAAUCUUUCGUAUUAACCAUAAGCAUAAAGGAUAUCAUGUUGGGUUGCAUUACCAUGUAAGGAAUGGAUAUCCUAAACCUGAGAAAGUACCAAUGCAGAUGAUAGUUUCUUAGGAAUAUCAUCGUGUUGUUACAGCAAAGAUGGCUAGCUGUAGCACCUUCUAUAGUUUAGUUUACUAUUAGGGAUAUCAUUCAAUCUCUAAACUAUGUGUUACCAUUAUAAAUUUGGCUAAGGAAUCUGUCUCAUUUUAAUAUUGCAAUGAAGUGGUUGGGAUGGAGAGGGUUUUUUACUUGACUAUUUUCUGACUAUAUACCUUUCUGUUUUGUGCAAGUACGAAGUAUUAGUAAUUUCAGUCUGUCCAAUUUUUGCAGGGAUAAUUGUGUGAGUCUGGUCCAAACUUUAAGACAAUCACUUAAUACAUUUAUGGGAUCACCAACUUUUGGCGUUUAUUGAGACUAGCUAGGUGGGACCAUGAAUUCCUAGAAGAUUGUGAACAAAAGUAAAAAAUGGAAGGCCCAGCUUACUUUGGUAUUAAGAGACAAGGAGCUGCAGCGUCAUGGAUUGGAGCGAAGGAGAGAUCCUGACGGCUGAAGAUGGUGUGCACGGGAGGAGCUCGAAGCGGCACUCUCAUGGAGGGAUGGCUGAUGU